rnacentral:misc_RNA from 1 species
UGUAAAUAGGGUGAAUGUUGCAGCACUGACACAAAAGUUGCAAAUCAAACAUAAAUUAAUUAUUUUAGAGGAAUUAAAUAAAUAGAUAGACAACGCCUCCUAAAACAAGCACUUUUCAACAGCCACCUUCAUGAUAAAGACAAUAGUAACACAUAAAUUUGUACCCCUAUCAUUUAUUGCAUAUGCACUAGUCGAUUCUUUGCUGCCUUGGAAAAGGAGAUGAAAAGAAGAAAAUACCUUAUAUCAAGUCCAAAAUAACCACAAGAAGAUAAGAAGAGCCAUAGUUGGGCCAAAGGAUAGUAUAGAAUUAUUAAUUUAAUAUUUUACAGUAUGAGCAGACACUCCAAUGUAGUAGGCAAACAACUACAUAUAACUUAUAAGCCACAUAAGCUCAUGAACUUGCAAAUCUCCUCGACAAUAUGCCCAAAGGAUCACUCCCUGGCAAUAACCCUUCAGGAAUUCUUGUCUGCUAUCUGGUAUGAAAAUGCAGCAGCACUCACUCAUUAAUCUGAUUAAGAGGAUUGUCAGGAGAUUUCUUCCAUAACUUCCAUAUCAUGUCCUUGUAUUGAUUAUGAGUAAGGCCUGGUUUCUCUUCCUUGAGUUUAGGAAGCUCAGCUUCUUCAAAAGCCUUAAAUGAGGCCUUGAGCCUCCUCUCAGGAUGCCUAUCAGCUGGCAAGUCGUCCGCGACUGUCAUCUGUGCAAUCGCAUCCUCCACAGUCCUUGCCUCAAUAAUGGAAUCAUCGCGAUUCGUAUUUGCAACCAACACCAUUCUCUCAUAAUCCUCCUCAACGGCGGUCCUGCUCUGCCUUCGUUUCAUCUCAUCCGCUUUCUUAGCCAGUUCUGCCUGCUCCUCCUCCCGCCGCCUCCCGAGCUCCGCCUCCGUCACCUUAGGAACUGGAAUAGCCACCCGAUUCGCCUUCUUAUCUGGUUUCCUCAAGGAUUUAUCGAUCUCCUUAUCUUCCUGUUCGGCCAACCGGCGGGCCUCAGCGCGACGAGCAGCGGCUUCUGCUCGCUUCUCAGAUUCUUCCUCGCGUUUCUUGGCGGCACGAGAUUUGGAGCCCUCGGCUUCGCGCCAGUACUGGUCUUCCUUCUCGCGGGCGUCGCGCUCCUUGCGCUCGGUCUCAGCAGUGCUCUUCCGAGCCCGAGCGGCCUCGGCCUUGCUGUUGACGCCCAUCUUCUUUGGCAUCUUUGAUUGAAGAAUUAGGCCUUGAUUGAAUUGAUGAAAAUGGAUUGAGAAUGGGAAAUUUGGGGAUUAGAUUUCGUGGGGUUUUGAGAGAGGAACCAGCUAGAUUUUGCGCGUUUCGCGUAAUCGUGUGAGUUGAGAAAAUAGUGUGUUU